ensembl:lncRNA
CUCAAUGUCACAGCCAUGCUGAUAAUCGGGACUGACUUUGUUAUGGAAGGUGGUGUUGGAGUGAUUCAAUGCCACUUUUCUAUCCAUUACAAACAGAUGUCAGCACCCUGUUCCAAACCACACCACCAGCCCUGAAGAAUACUGAAACUUUGCUGAGGGGUGAGAAGUUUCUUCUUUCUCCUCUCCUCAUUUUCUUGCUUCACUUUCUGAGUUACAGCUGCACUUCCACUGCUAUCAAUACAAGGCCAAGAGUGAGUUUAAUUGUAUUAUAUACACUGCAGCAAGGACAGAGGGCAAGCUCUAGCAAACACAUGGUCACUAUGAGACAACACACUUAUUCCUAGGCAAAAAAUCAGAUGCCUUUGGGAGAGCUUAUUAGACAAGACGAAGAACAGAAAAAAAAAUAAGAAAUCCUUGACUAAUGAGAGUUCUGUGAUGAAAUCUAGAUCCAGCUCUACCACCUUGAGGAUUCAAAUCUCCCCCCAGAUGCACCUCUUCUGGUUGACAGCUCCAGCAUCUCUGCUUGCUUCCGGUUAGGACUUUGUAACUUAAGUUUGCUCCUGUGAAAAACCAUUCCAACAGAAGAAGGCAAUUUACACCACCUGGCUGCAAUAUGUCCAAGUACACAGUGAGCUUUUACCCACAGAGGGACACUCAUCAUCAGCCACAGAUACCCUGAAGCACUACAG